rnacentral:rRNA from 1 species
UACGUAGGGAGCAAGCGUUGUCCGGAAUCAUUGGGCGUAAAGCGCGCGUAGGCGGCCCUGUAAGUCCGCUGUGAAAAGUCAAAGGCUCAACCUUUGAAAGCCGGUGGAUACUGCAGGGCUAGAGUCCGGAAGAGGCGAGUGGAAUUCCUGGUGUAGCGGUGGAGUGCGCAGAUAUCAGGAGGAACACCAAUUGCGAAGGCAGCUCGCUGGGACGUGACUGACGCUGAGACGCGAAAGCGUGGGGGAGCAAACAGG